GUUCCCAUACGAUCACCGAAGUUAAGCAACGUGUAGCCUGGUCAGUACUUAGGUGGGUGACUGCUUGGGAAUACCU